rnacentral:rRNA from 1 species
AGCGAACGCUGGCGGCAGGCUUAACACAUGCAAGUCGAACGCCCCGCAAGGGGAGUGGCAGACGGGUGAGUAACACGUGGGAACGUACCCUUUGGUUCGGAAUAACUUGGGGAAACUCAAGCUAAUAACGGAUAAGCCCUUAUGGGGAAAGGUUUACUGCCGAAGGAUCGGCCCGCGUGUGAUUGGCUAGUUGGUGAGGUAAUGGCUAACAAAGGCGACGAUCAGUAGCUGGUCUGAGAGGAUGAUCAGCCACACUGGGACUGAGACACGGCCCAGACUCCUACGGGAGGCAGCAGUGGGGAAUAUUGGACAAUGGGGGCAACCCUGAUCCAGCCAUGCCGCGUGAGUGAUGAAGGCCUUAGGGUUGUAAAGCUCUUUUACCCGGGACGAUAAUGACUGUACCGGGAGAAUAAGCCCCGGCUAACUUCGUGCCAGCCGCCGCGGUAA